GAUGAACGCUAGCGGAAGGCAUAAUACAUGCAAGUCGAACGGGUGUAGCAAUACAUUAGUGGCGCACGGGUGCGUAACGCGUAUGCAACCUACCUUCAUCAGGGGGAUAACUACCCGAAAGGGUGGCUAACACCGCAUAAUACUAUUGAGUGGCAUCACUUGAUAUUUAAAUCUGAGGAGGAUGAAGAUGGGCAUGCGUCUGAUUAGCUAGUUGGUGUGGUAACGGCGCACCAAGGCGACGAUCAGUAGGGGAACUGAGAGGUUGGUCCCCCACACUGGCACUGAGAUACGGGCCAGACUCCUACGGGAAGCAGCAGUAGGGAAUAUUGGUCAAUGGUGGGAACACUGAACCAGCCAUUCCGCGUGCAGGAAGAAGGGUCUCUGACUUGUAAACUGCUUUAGCAAGGGAAGAAAAAGCUCAUGCGUGAGAAAUUGACGGUACCUUGAGAAUAAGCACCGGCUAACUACGUGCCAGCCGCCGCAGUAACAC
rnacentral:rRNA from 1 species